rnacentral:lncRNA from 1 species
UGGAGUAGAAAAAAUGAGGGGUUAAUACAAAGAGAAAGAAAAAAGAAAGAUGUCACCUGAUCCAAAAGUCUUUUUAAAAUUGGUUCUCCCCCUAACUUAGCCAAUAUUAUCUUCAGAUCCUUACAAAAGAUACUAAGUAAGACUCGAUUAAUCUAAAUAAAAUAUAAAAAAAUAAUAAAAAGUAAAAGCUAAAACUAAAACUGAAAUUGGAUUGCCUCC